rnacentral:rRNA from 1 species
CACCGCGGUUAUACGAGAGGCUCAAGUUGAUAGCCGUCGGCGUAAAGCGUGGUUAAGAAAUCCUUCAACUAAAGCCGAAUGCCCUCAGAACUGUUAUACGUACCCGAAGGUAAGAAGCCCAAUUACGAAAGUAGCUUUAUUUUCUCUGAACCCACGAAAGCUGUGGAA